GCUGUCAACAAAGGCUUUGCAAAGGCAGGUCUUGAAGGAUUUACACAAACGGAUGGGCUCCUACAAACAGGAAAAUGUAAACCACGGUUCAACACAAACUCCUCCUGUAUCAAGGUUAAAUUAUUAGAUACCAGCAAGUACGGAUGGAGCCACAGACGGGUAACUAUGGAAACGCCAGGUACGGAAGGCACGCGGGGAGUGCCAGCGCUUACCUGUGGUGUUCUCCCGCAGCAGCUGGUGUAUGUAUCUUCCCAUAGCACGUGCGUUUGCUUUUAUCAGACAAUAAUUACGGAAUGAAAAAUGAAAACAAGUGCCUUAGUGAAGUAGGUCACAAAAGCAGUAUGUUCAGAACCUGAAAUCAACAAUUAAAAAACAAAUGCUAUCAUAGAAAAAGAAUUUCCCGAA